rnacentral:rRNA from 1 species
GACGAACGCUGGCGGCGUGCUUAACACAUGCAAGUCGAACGGAAAGGCCCUGCUUGCAGGGUACUCGAGUGGCGAACGGGUGAGUAACACGUGGGUGAUCUGCCCUGCACUUCGGGAUAAGCCUGGGAAACGGGGUCUAAUACCGGAUAGGAGCCAUUUUUAGUGUGAUGGUUGGAAAGUUUUUUCGGUGUAGGAUGAGCUCGCGGCCUAUCAGCUUGUUGGUGGGGUAAUGGCCUACCAAGGCGGCGACGGGUAGCCGGCCUGAGAGGCUGGACGGCCACCUUGGGACUGAGAUACGGCCCAGACUCCGACGGGAGGCAGAAGGGGGGAAUAUUGCACAAUGGGCGCAAGCCGGAUGCAGCGACGCCGCGUGGGGGAUGACGGCCUUCGGGUUGUAGACACCUUUCGCUAGGGACGAAGCUUUUUGUGACGGUACCUAGAUAAGAAGCACCGGCUAACUACGUG